rnacentral:piRNA from 1 species
UCCAAUGUGUCCAAAUGUAGCAUCUCUCCA